rnacentral:rRNA from 1 species
GACGAACGCUGGCGGCGUGCCUAAUACAUGCAAGUCGAACGCAUUUUCUUUCACCGUAGCUUGCUACACCGAAAGAAAAUGAGUGGCGAACGGGUGAGUAACACGUGGGUAACCUGCCCAUCAGCGGGGGAUAACACUUGGAAACAGGUGCUAAUACCGCAUAAUUCCAUUUACCGCAUGGUAGAUGGAUGAAAGGCGCUUUUGCGUCACUGAUGGAUGGACCCGCGGUGCAUUAGCUGGUUGGUGGGGUAACGGCCUACCAAGGCUGCGAUGCAUAGCCGACCUGAGAGGGUGAUCGGCCACACUGGGACUGAGACACGGCCCAGACUCCUACGGGAGGCAGCAGUAGGGAAUCUUCGGCAAUGGACACAAGUCUGACCGAGCAACGCCGCGUGAGUGAAGAAGGUUUUCGGAUCGUAAAACUCUGUUGUUAGAGAAGAACAAGGAUGAGAGUGGAAAGUUCAUCCCUUGACGGUAUCUAACCAGAAAGCCACGGCUAACUACGUG